GGCGAAUCUUUUUUUUGCUGCCUGCAGAAGAGGGGCACCCAGGUGGGGUGUAAACAGGAUGCAAGGGCUUUCCGGGCAUCCUCCCAGUACUUCCUCCCGGCCAUGUGUGGCUGGCCUCAGACUUGCUGUGUAGCAGAGGAUGAUCUUGAAGUCUCAAUCCUCCUGUGUCUACAUCCCAAGUGCCAGGAUUAGAGGGAGAGGCACCACUGGAAGACGUGACCUCGUUGGAGGAAGUCACUACGCAGGCGGACUUUAAGGUCAAGCUACGCACACAGCGAAGCACAGUCUCAUUUGCUGCCUGAGGAUCAAGAUGUGGAACUCAGCUGGGUAUGAGGGCACACGCCUGUGAUCCCAGCACUCAGGGAGGAAGAGGCAGGCGGAUCACUGUGAGUGUGAGGCCAGCCUGGUCUACAAAGCAAUUCCAGGACAGCCAAGGCUACACAAAGAGACCCUGUCUUGAAGAACCAAACAUAAAAGAAGAAAGAAAGAAAUGAAGAAAGAAAGAAAGAAAGAAAGAAAGAAAGAAAGAAAGAAAGAAAGAAAGAAAGAAAGAAAGAAGAAAAGAUGUAGAACUCUCAGCUCCUUCUCCGGCACCUCCAUGCGGCCCACCAUAAUGAUAAUGGACUAAACCUCAGAAACUGUAAGCCAGCCCCAAUUAAAUGCUUUUUUGUUUUGUUUUGUUUUGUUUUGUUUUGUUUUGUUUUGUUUUAAUAAGAGCUGUAUUGGUCGUGGUGUCUCUUCAUAGCAAUAAAACCCGAAGACAUCUGGUGAUAGCUCUAUUCUACGGCCUGAAGGCACCCACCGUGCAGAAAGUCUCAGUGCUUGAUAGGGUCGCUGGUGCUGACUUACAAUGAAUUCAUUCUAGGAAUGUA